CCGUUAGGGAUUAUGUGCCGUUUCCUCGCCCAGAAGCUUUCGGCUUGUCCCCUCCCACUCUUGAAAAAGCAGCGACUCCACAAACUAGAAAACGGUGCAAACUAAAUACCUGCCUCUCUGACCACCAGCCUCAGCCUUUCAGCCCCGCUUGUCUGCGCUUGUGCGAUCGCUGGGAGGAGGCAGCCGCGUUCCGUCCGCUUUUGUGUGGUUGUACAGAAGUGCUGCGGUUGGGAGGAGGAGGAGGAGGUGGAGGGGAACAGCUGCUCCCCACACAGAAGCCGGUUUCCCAGCCUGACAGGCAGUGAGAGGCAGCCAGUGCCGGGGCUGUUUUCCCGGGGGCCCUCGGGUUGCUUCGCCAGCCUCCGCAGCUCCGGUCUAGGAGGGAGAUUUUUAUGGCAGCGGCGAAAUGCGAAAUGGACCAGAUCAAGUCGGAUUCUUUCCUUCACGAGGCCAAGCGCUCGUGUUCUCUCACAAAAAUCAAGAGCAGAUAUGGAUACAUCUCCACUGAAACUCGACCAGGUUUCUCUCAGCCGAUGGGACUCCAGCGGAACCCGCGGCUGCUCUGAGCGCCUUCUUCCAGUCGGAGCUUUUAACCCGUCGGAUGGCGGUUAGCGGUGGCCGCAGGUGCUCCCGUUACCUGCACGAAAAGCCACGUGAGCACUCCAGCAAUCCUCAAACACUCACACACACACAUACACGCACAAUACCCAGACAUCUUUUUGUUCUUCAACACACAGUGAGCUCUGGCAGAGAUAUAAACCUGUCUGUAUCCUAAAAUGAACUGUCUCUCUUUGUCUCUCUCUCACCAACAAAAAUAUAGUUCCUGUUGUAAAUGAUUGUCCAAAAUAAUACCUCAGAUUUAUUUGAUGUUAUUUUGAAUGAAUUGGUGUAAUGUUAUGAUUGAUAUGAUGUUAUUUUCUGUUUUUAAAAAAUCAAAACUAGAUGAAUGUACUUGCAGUCUUGUACUUAAAUGUACUUAAAAAAAGGUACAGAAGUUGUCACUGGAUCGAACUUAAAGUUAUCUCGAAUUAAGUUACUGGCAAGUGUUUAGCUAUAUAUAUAUAUAUGUGUGUGUGUGUUGUAUUAUGUUAUGUAUUUAAUAUUUUUACAUUUUUAUGACAUUGUUGGAAUUUUUUUUUUUAUUUUGUUUUAUAUAUAUAUACAUCUAUAUCUAUCUAUCUGUCUAUCUAUAAAUAUAUAUAUAUAGAAUUACUAUUUUGUAUUGUGUUUGUGUGUAUAUAAUUGUUAUAUAUUGCCUAAUUGUUGGCAAUUUUUAAUAUAAUUUAGUUUUUUACAUAUAUAUAUAUAUAUAUAUAUAUAUAUAUAUAUAUUAUACAUAUAUUAAUUAUAUAUGUAUAAAACUAAAUUAUAUUAAAAAUACAAAUGGAGAAAUAUUAAAUACAUAAAAUAAUAUAUAUAUAUAUAUAUAUAUAUAUAUAUAUAUAUGAACUAUGAACUGCAGUUGGGUUAUUUUAAUAUAAAGUAAAAAUAACAAAAAAAUACAGCUAACACAAUUAAAUAUAAUUAAAUAUAUAUAACACAUAUAUUAAUUACAAAUAAAUAUUUGUUCUCUUUUUGUCAGUCUCUAACCCUUAAUGUUUUCCCACAGUGUGUAACUGCAGAAAUGAAGCUGUGUGUGUGUGUAAGUUUGCAGUAGCAGUUUCAGCAGGUGAGUCUGACACACAGACACACUCCCGCAUUAAAGGAGGCGGAGAAGAAAGACAGAUCCUUUGACCUUCUGUUUUCACAUAGUGAAAGUCACUGUCCAGUCACACACAUUCAGACCACAAAUGCCGUUAGUCUGUUUAUCUCUUGCAUAUUUGUAUUUUUAAAUGCUGUAAAUGUUUGAGACUUUCUAAUAAAUUGUUUACAUUACUGUAUCAAUUCUCAUCUUA